GAAUAUGUGGGCAGAUAUCUUUGGGGUUGCUUUGAAGGGAAGCAUGAGCAUUCAGCUCAUUCGCAGCCAUCAUGUCAGCCUCAGUUCCACCAACUUGUUGUCCAGGAUAUACCUUAAAAAUAACCCGAGUUCCUCUAAGUGGACCUUGGGCCACUCUUCCUUCAUAAAGCCUGCAAAAGAACUGAUCUUGACACUUCCUUCUCCAAUAUCUUGUACUUUAAAGUUCCCUAUAUCUUCUGAUACUGCAUAAUCCAUCGCCAUUCCGGAUUGAAGCCCCGAGUAACUUGUGACGUUCAUGAA
rnacentral:misc_RNA from 1 species